AAUGAACGCUGGCGGCAGGCCUAACACAUGCAAGUCGAACGCCCCGCAAGGGGAGUGGCGCACGGGUGAGUAACGCGUGGGAAUAUGCCCUUCGGUUCGGAAUAACACAGGGAAACUUGUGCUAAUACCGGAUACGAUCUACGGAUGAAAGAUUCAUCGCCGAAGGAGUAGCCCGCGUAGGAUUAGCUAGUUGGGGAGGUAAUGGCUCACCAAGGCGACGAUCCUUAGCUGGUCUGAGAGGAUGAUCAGCCACACUGGGACUGAGACACGGCCCAGACUCCUACGGGAGGCAGCAGUGGGGAAUAUUGGACAAUGGGCGAAAGCCUGAUCCAGCCAUGCCGCGUGAGUGAUGAAGGCCUUAGGGUUGUAAAGCUCUUUCGCCAGGGAAGAUAAUGACGGUACCUGGAGAAUAAGCACCGGCUAACUACGUGCCAGCCGCCGCCGUAAUAC
rnacentral:rRNA from 1 species